rnacentral:tRNA from 1 species
GUGGCUGUAGCUCAGUCGGUAGAGUACAGGAUUGUGAUUCCUGUUGCCGCGGGUUCGAUCCCCGUCAGCCACC